rnacentral:rRNA from 1 species
UACGUAGGGUGCGAGCGUUGUCCGGAAUUAUUGGGCGUAAAGGGCUCGUAGGCGGUUUGUCGCGUCGGGAGUGAAAACACCGGGCUUAACUCGGUGCUUGCUUUCGAUACGGGCAGACUAGAGGCAUGCAGGGGAGAACGGAAUUCCUGGUGUAGCGGUGAAAUGCGCAGAUAUCGGGAAGAACACCCGUGGCGAAGGCGGUUCUCUGGGACGGUACUGACGCUGAGACGCGAAAGCGUGGGGAGCGAACAGG